CUUCUCGAUACCGGCCGCCGCCGAGGACAGCUACACUCCGUCCCCCACUCCUGAUGAAGGCUGCGGCGGCUCCACACGGAAGAUGACGACGCUGGCAUAGAGUUCCUGCUGGACGCGGUUAACAGAUUUCCCCUCCGGGGAGAAUUCGUGGGCAGCUUGGACCACCUAGAUCCGGUUCCUCUGGCGGGGCUCCCGAGGAUUGAUGGCACCCGCGUUGAGCCGGCUGACUCGAACGCUGGGUCUGGGUGUGGGCACCGUAUUGACAGCGCUAACCAAGGGCGCCCAGAUGCCAACGAGAUUCGCACAAUCUACCGAGAGGGUGAAUUCGGAGGCACCUGGAUGGGCAAAAAGGUUACAUCUAGGGAGCACGCCGCCUGAUAGAACCCCGUGCCCAUCUAGGAUGAGUGCCCUAGAGCAGUCAAUCCGCAAGUAUGCAGAGGAACCAACGAAAAGUGUAGUUCGUCCUGAAGUGGGACGGAGUUUCGACUUACUCGGCGAGGCGUACGACUUCUACAAUUUGUAUUCAUGGGAGAUUGGUUUUGGCAUAAGGUAUGGGAAAAGCUAAUUGACCGCGAAGAGGAUCAAAUCGAUGCAGGAGAUUGUCUGCGUUUGU